CAGUGGACCCAGACACCGGCAUCAUAGACAGGAAAGAGCCGCUGGAGACCCUGAAGAGCUAUCGCCUGUGUGAUCCUUCUGUGAAGAGUUUAUACCAGUCGUCUCCACUCUUUGGGAUGUAUUUCUCAGUGGAAAAAAUUGGAAGCCUGAGAGUGGGUGACCCUGUGUAUCGGAUGGUGGAUUAGUGGAUCCCGUGGACUGACUCGGUAAAAGUUUCCCUUUGUUUGUAGAACUCGGACUCUUGACAGCAUGGCCACAUCUUCUCAUCUUCUGAUUCUUUAAUAAUUUUAAAAUUACUUUACUAUUUUCUGUGCAUGGAUGUUGUGCUCGCCUGUAUGUGUCCCAUCUGCAUGGCAGUGCCCAAGGAGGCCAGAAGGGGGCCCCCGAUCCUCUGGAAGUGGAACUACAGACAGUUGCGAGCUGCCACGUGGGUGCUGGGAAUCAAACCUGUGUCCUGUGGAAGAACAGCCAGUGCUCUUAACCACUGAGCCGCUCAGUCACAUGCCUGUGUUUGGUUGGUUUGGUUUGGUUUUCGAGACAGGGUUUCUCUGUGUAGCCUUGGCUGUCCUAGAACUUGAUUUGUAGACCAGGCUGGCCUUGAACUCACAGAGAUCUGCCUGCCCCUGCCUCCCAAGUGUUGGGAUUAAAGGUGUACACCAACACCAUCUGGUUCAGAUGCUUUUAAAAGG
rnacentral:lncRNA from 1 species